CCUACGGGAGGCAGCAGUGAGGAAUAUUGGUCAAUGGACGAGAGUCUGAACCAGCCAAGUAGCGUGAAGGAUGACUGCCCUAUGGGUUGUAAACUUCUUUUAUAAAGGAAUAAAACGAGGCACGUGUGCCUUUUUGCAUGUACUUUAUGAAUAAGGAUCGGCUAACUCCGUGCCAGCAGCCGCGGUAAUACGGAGGAUCCGAGUGUUAUCCGGAUUUAUUGGGUUUAAAGGGAGCGUAGAUGGGUUGUUAAGUCAGUUGUGAAAGUUUGCGGCUCAACCGUAAAAUUGCAAUUGAUACUGGCAGUCUAGAGUACAGUUGAGGUAGGCGGAAUUCGUGGUGUAGCGGUGAAAUGCUUAGAUAUCACGAAGAACCCCGAUUGCGAAGGCAGCUUACUAGACUGUGACUGACAUUGAUGCUCGAAAGUGUGGGUAUCAAACAGGAUUAGAUACCCUUGUAGUC
rnacentral:rRNA from 1 species